AGAGUAAAAACGUGUUCGUUAUACCUUAUGAGGUAUUGCAGUGUUGACCGGACGGGGAGUUGUCGGUCAAACGAAAAGCGAAAGCUUGCGGUUCACGUUUUGCAUCCCGCU
rnacentral:ncRNA from 1 species